CCUACGGGAGGCUGCAGUGGGGAAUAUUGCACAAUGGGCGCAAGCCUGAUGCAGCCAUGCCGCGUGUGUGAAGAAGGCCUUCGGGUUGUAAAGCACUUUCAGCGGGGAGGAAGGCGGUGAGGUUAAUAACCUCAUCGAUUGACGUUACCCGCAGAAGAAGCACCGGCUAACUCCGUGCCAGCAGCCGCGGUAAUACGGAGGGUGCAAGCGUUAAUCGGAAUUACUGGGCGUAAAGCGCACGCAGGCGGUCUGUCAAGUCGGAUGUGAAAUCCCCGGGCUCAACCUGGGAACUGCAUUCGAAACUGGCAGGCUAGAGUCUUGUAGAAGGGGGUAGAAUUCCAGGUGUAGCGGUGAAAUGCGUAGAGAUCUGGAGGAAUACCGGUGGCGAAGGCGGCCCCCUGGACAAAGACUGACGCUCAGGUGCGAAAGCGUGGGGAGCAAACAGGAUUAGAUACCCUUGUAGUC
rnacentral:rRNA from 1 species